rnacentral:rRNA from 1 species
UACGUAGGGCGCAAGCGUUGUCCGGAAUUAUUGGGCGUAAAGAGCUCGUAGGCGGCUUGUCACGUCGGGGUGUGAAAGCCCGGGGCUUAACCCCGGGUCUGCAUUCGAUACGGGCAGGCUAGAGUGUGGUAGGGGAGAUCGGAAUUCCUGGUGUAGCGGUGAAAUGCGCAGAUAUCAGGAGGAACACCGGUGGCGAAGGCGGCAUCCUGGACCACGACUGACGCUGAGUGAGCGAAAGCCAGGGGAGCAAACGGG